CCCGAAAGUGGUCCUGAUGGGAUUGUACUGAAACCCACUGGCUUGACUGCACGAACUGAAGUCCGCAUAGGCCGAUGCCAAGCUCGUCGUGUCCAUCCCGGCCAUACAUGACUCGUAGGCAGAGGAAUUUAGUUCCAAGUAGCAUGUGAUUCCAGGCCGCAGUUUGCUCCUACGGUCGGGCUUCAGCCGGGCCACUAAGGACAGUAUCUUCACCUCAGCAGCUCGUUGCAGCUCUUUGUGUGCAGCAGCCAUGUCUCCUGGAAGCAUCUCCCUCUGCCUUUGCUGUAACCAGUAAGCUGAGCGUUACAUCAGGUCAGUCCCAGUGAGCCACUUCUUAGCAGUGUCAGCAAGCUUUGACUCCCUCUCCUCCAUAACUUAGGAAUCCCAC